rnacentral:rRNA from 1 species
AGUGAACGCUGGCGGCAGGCCUAACACAUGCAAGUCGAACGGCAGCACAGGAGAGCUUGCUCUCUGGGUGGCGAGUGGCGGACGGGUGAGGAAUAUAUCGGAAUCUACCCUUUCGUGGGGGAUAACGUAGGGAAACUUACGCUAAUACCGCAUACGAACUGAGGUUGAAAGCGGCGGACCGCAGGGCGUCGCGCGGAUGGAUGAGCCGAUAUCCGAUUAGCUAGUUGGCGGGGUAAAGGCCCACCAAGGCGACGAUCGGUAGCUGGUCUGAGAGGAGGAUCAGCCACACUGGAACUGAGACACGGUCCAGACUCCUACGGGAGGCAGCAGUGGGGAAUAUUGGACAAUGGGCGCAAGCCUGAUCCAGCCAUGCCGCGUGUGUGAAGAAGGCCUUCGGGUUGUAAAGCACUUUUGUUGGGAGAGAAAAGCGGUCGGUUAAUACCCGGUCGUUCUGACGGUACCCAAAGAAUAAGCACCGGCUAACUUCGUGCCAGCAGCCGCGGUAA